rnacentral:pre_miRNA from 1 species
AUCUCCCAGGAAGUUUGUUAAAAUGCAGGUUCUAAUUCAGUAGGUCUGGGAGGGGCCUGAGAGUCUGCAUUUCUGACAAACUCCCAGGUGACGCUGA